UCUCCGUUGGUGAACCAGCGGAGGGAUCAUUACAGGACUCAUCAGAGCUGUAAACCACUGUGAACUUACCUAGAAAACGUUGCCUCGGCGGGGGGCCCCCGGGGCUCGCCCCAGGGGACCCAGCCCCCGCCAGCGGCCCACGACUCUACCUCUCUGCGUUGGCAUCUCGAGGAUAAGCAAGCAAGUUAAAACUUUCAACAACGGAUCUCUUGGCUCUGGCAUCGAUGAAGAACGCAGC
rnacentral:misc_RNA from 1 species